rnacentral:rRNA from 1 species
CAGUAGCCGCGGUAAUACGUAGGGUGCGAGCGUUAAUCGGAAUUACUGGGCGUAAAGGGCUCGCAGGCGGUUUCUUAAGUCUGAUGUGAAAGCCCCCGGCUCAACCGGGGAGGGUCAUUGGAAACUGGGAAACUUGAGUGCAGAAGAGGAGAGUGGAAUUCCACGUGUAGCGGUGAAAUGCGUAGAGAUGUGGAGGAACACCAGUGGCGAAGGCGACUCUCUGGUCUGUAACUGACGCUGAGGAGCGAAAGCGUGGGGAGCGAACAGGAUUAGAUACCCCUGUAGUCCCUGUCUCUUAUAC